UACGUAGGGUGCAAGCGCUGUCCGGAAUUAUUGGGCGUUAAGAGCUCGUAGGCGGUUUGUUGCGUCGGCUGUGAAAUCCCGAGGCUCAACCUCGGGUCUGCAGUCGAUACGAGCAAACUAGAGUGUUGCAGGGGAGACUGGAAUUCCUGGUGUAGCGGUGAAAUGCGCAGAUAUCAGGAGGAACACCGGUGGCGAAGGCGGGUCUCUGGGCAACAACUGACGCUGAGGAGCGAAAGCGUGGGGAGCGAACAGG
rnacentral:rRNA from 1 species